AUAAUGACUUCUUAUUAACACUC
rnacentral:snRNA from 1 species